ACAGCAGUCCCUGAUUGAUGGAGAUGACGUGCCCUCCUGGUCUCGGCCAAUAGCUGGACAUCUCUGUCAUCAGAGAGGACAACACUGAUUAAACCGAGUUGAGAAACUCACUUCAGGUCAACAUUUUAUUGCCAUGUCCACGUAGGCCAGAGCAAAAACUGCAAAACUGCCUCAAAAGCAGCGAGGAAGUUCAUCAUCAUCAGCAGCAGACAGUGAGGGCCUUCACGGGCCUCUCACCUAUGCAGACAGGCAGUCGAGGCCCUGGGAUCAGCACCGGCCGUGCUCGGAUUACCACCGUGGUUUGAAUUGAACCCUCAUCCAGACGCUGCUGACACCAUGCUACUGGCCGCCGUUGACACCAGAACCUUGUCUGGCCCUCCAACACUGUCAAGCCUCAUUAUAUGUCAGCUCUUGACCCUCACAAGACAUGGGAAUUAACCAGUGCUGACAGACGACUGUCACCACCAACAAGAGAGGUCACUGGCGUUAAUGCAGUUCCAGGAGGGGAAGAUGACAGCCAUCUUUGCCAUGUUUAUGGAGCUCGGGCUCAUCAGUGUGGCAUCAUGAUAGAGCUGUAAUAUGGCCCAGAGAAACAAAGAGAGAGAAAGGGUCAGAGCAGGGGCUGAGGCACAAGCAGACCGAUAUUCAAGUGUGGCACAUUGACCGGUUGAAAGAUGGCUAUCUAUGUGAUUGAUAGAGCAUGUCUGCGUUUUUCAAAUAUUGACAUUUUUGAAAAAUAGUGAUGUCAGAAGUGAGGUUUGGCUUAGUGUCUACCCAGCCCACACACCAUUCAGGGAAUAGCGCUUGAAAACAAAGAAAUCCAUCCACUCACGCUGCGAAAUUCUAAUAAUUGUCUUUGCUUUUGUCGUCGAAUCGUAUGAAAUCUGUCACAGUACAUGAACCGUAAUCAUAAAUCCAAUACAACUACAGUGCAAAUGGCCGGGGACAUUACAGAUAACUGCAUUCUGCACAGGCUCAACAGUGUGACAAUGAAGCAAUACCUCGCUAAUACCAGGACUUUUCAACAAUAGCCUGUAGUAUGUACUGCAGCGCUUCACAGCUUCAGUGAGCCAAGAGGCUUCGAGUCGGCAGAAUCCCAAACAUCAUGACAACAAGCCAUCAGUCAUCUUCCCCCCAAGCUGCUGCGCACACUUGUGUGUUUCCGGAGUUCUUACUGUGGGAAAUGAGCAGGGUUAAACAUGAAACAGGAGGAAAUGUUCAUCAUUGCAGCACACUCUGUAAUAUUCUCCCUCGUAAGGCAUUGUUUUCGCUGCAGGGAAAGAGGAGUGGUUUUUAAUUUUUUUUUUCUGCUUAAACAUCCCCUGCUUGUUCACAAUGCAGAUCAGGAGUCUACUGUGCAUGCUAAUCAUGCUUAAUAGCAAAAUGCUGAUAGAAAAAUGACACUGUAUUAAUAAAGCACUAAUCUUCUGUUGAGGCUCAGGAAGGAUUAUAACUGCUGGUAAAAAAGGCAAAAAAAUCAACCUUGGAAAAGUUGGAAAGUUAAAAGUUUAGAUGAGGAAGGUACUGGAUAUUUACAAUAUCCAAAUAUUAGUUAAAUGUCUUUUAUUCCUCAUUAACUACCUUUGAGAUCAUCUUAUUUACACAGUCUGAUAAUCUGUCUCAACGUGUUCCUGCUCUUCACUGAAGCCAUGUGAUGUUUACACAGAGUGAAAUAUUCAAACCCAAGAAUCCAUUUCAUGACUGCUCCCUGCAUCAAAUGGAAAUAUUCUGUCCUGUGCAUCACUGUCUAUACAUCUCCCAAAAUUCAGGGUGACGUAUUCUGUAUCUAUUAGAACUUUUGCCUCUCCUGUAGAAUUUAAAAUAAAGUUAUGUGAUUAAAAUGUCAA